rnacentral:rRNA from 1 species
ACUCCUACGGGAGGCAGCAGUGGGGAAUAUUGCACAAUGGAGGAAACUCUGAUGCAGCAACACCGCGUGGAGGAUGACACAUUUCGGUGCGUAAACUCCUUUUAUAUGGGAAGAUAAUGACGGUACCAUAUGAAUAAGCACCGGCUAACUCCGUGCCAGCAGCCGCGGUAAUACGGAGGGUGCAAGCGUUACUCGGAAUCACUGGGCGUAAAGCGCGCGCAGGCGGCUAUUUAAGUUGGAUGUGAAAGCCUACGGCUCAACCGUAGAACUGCAUCCAAAACUAUUUAGCUAGAGUGUGGGAGAGGAAGAUGGAAUUAGUUGUGUAGGGGUAAAAUCCGUAGAGAUAACUAGGAAUACCAAAAGCGAAGGCAAUCUUCUGGAACACUACUGACGCUGAGGCGCGAAGGCGUGGGGAGCAAACAGGAUUAGAUACCCUGGUAGUCCACGCAGUAAACGAUGAAUGUUAGUCGUCGGGUAGCUAGUCUAUUCGGUGAUGCAGCUAACGCAUUAAACAUUCCGCCUGGGGAGUACGGUCGCAAGAUUAAAACUCAAAGGAAUAGACGGGGACCCGCACAAGUGGUGGAGCAUGUGGUUUAAUUCGAAGAUACGCGAAGAACCUUACCUAGCCUUGACACAUAUUAGAACUCAGUAGAGAUACAGAGGUGCCUUCGGGAGCUUUUAUACAGGUGCUGCACGGCUGUCGUCAGCUCGUGUCGUGAGAUGUUGGGUUAAGUCCCGCNACGAGCGCAACCCUCGUCACUAGUUACUAACGGUUCGGCCGAGGACUCUAGUGANACUGCCUUCGUAAGGAGGAGGAAGGUGAGGACGACGUCNANUCAUCAUGGCCCUUACGGCUANGGCAACACACGUGCUACAAUGGCCAGG